GCUAUGCUGCAUACGAGUAGACCCUUUCUGACUCUGCCUGUAGUCGUAAAGGGGGGACAAUGUAUGCAACAGCAAAGC
ensembl:miRNA gga-mir-3536 gga-mir-3536